rnacentral:rRNA from 1 species
GGUUGAUCCUGCCGGACCCGACUGCUAUCGGAUUGGGACUAAGCCAUGCGAGUCAACUCCGCAAGGGGUGGCGCACGGCUCAGUAACACGUAGUCAACCUACCCUGGGGACGGGGAUAACCUCGGGAAACUGAGGCUAAACCCCGAUGGGCCAUGGCUCCUGGAAUGGGCUAUGGCUGAAAUCUACAUGGCCCCAGGAUGGGACUGCGGCCGAUCAGGUUGUUGGUGGGGUAAUGGCCCACCAAGCCUAUAACCGGUGCGGGCUCUGAGAGGAGGAGCCCGGAGAUGGGCACUGAGACAAGGGCCCAGGUCCUAUGGGGCGCAGCAGGCGCGAAACCUCCGCAAUGGGCGAAAGCCCGACGGGGUCAGUCCGAGUGGUUCCCGCUGAGGGAACCUUUUG